UGGGGAAUAUUGCGCAAUGGGCGAAAGCCUGACGCAGCAACGCCGCGUGAGUGAUGAAGGCCUUCGGGUCGUAAAGCUCUGUCGGAGGGAACGAAUGCUCCUGAAGUUAACAGCCUCAGGAGGUGACGGUACCCUCAAAGGAAGCACCGGCUAACUCUGUGCCAGCAGCCGCGGUAAUACAGAGGGUGCAAGCGUUGUUCGGAAUCAUUGGGCGUAAAGGGCGUGUAGGCGGUAUGUUAAGUCACUGGUGAAAGUUUGCGGCCCAACCGUAAAAUUGCCUGUGAUACUGGCGAACUUGAGUGCGUGAGGGGUAGGGGGAACGAGCAGUGUAGCGGUGAAAUGCGUAGAUAUUGCUCGGAAGGCCGGAGCCGAAGGGGCCCUACUGGUACGUAACUGACGCUGAGGCACGAAAGCGUGGGGAGCAAACAGGAUUAGAUACCCACGUAGUCCCUGAGCGGGCUGGCAAGGCGCAU
rnacentral:rRNA from 1 species